UACGUAGGGUGCAAGCGUUGUCCGGAAUUAUUGGGCGUAAAGAGCUCGUAGGCGGUCUGUCGCGUCUGCUGUGAAAACUCGGGGCUUAACCCCGGGUCUGCAGUGGGUACGGGCAGACUAGAGUGCGGUAGGGGAGACUGGAAUUCCUGGUGUAGCGGUGAAAUGCGCAGAUAUCAGGAGGAACACCGGUGGCGAAGGCGGGUCUCUGGGCCGUAACUGACGCUGAGGAGCGAAAGCGUGGGGAGCGAACAGG
rnacentral:rRNA from 1 species